AGGACAUACACAUUACACCCAAGGCCUGUCCUCCUUGAGGGCUCAGAUGUUGGAGUUUUGCGGCCUGCUUGGACAGUGUAAGCGGGAAUGCCCUCUUUUCCUUCGUCUAUAUAGCCUCUCUGGUUUAGGUAACCGCGUGGUUCCCAAUUGCAUGGGUUCUGCGAGGGCGACAGCGGUUGCCUCCGACGAAGGGAAUGUUAAAGCCAGG